rnacentral:rRNA from 1 species
UACGGGGGGUGCAAGCGUUGCUCGGAAUUAUUGGGCGUAAAGCGUACGCAGGCGGCUCUGCAAGUCGAGUGUGAAAACCCGGGGCUCAACCCCGGAAUUGCAUUCGAAACUGCCGGGCUUGAGUGCGGGAGAGGGAAGCGGAAUUCCUGGUGUAGAGGUGAAAUUCGUAGAUAUCAGGAGGAACACCGGUGGCGAAAGCGGCUUCCUGGCCCGAUACUGACGCUCAUGUACGAAAGCGUGGGGAGCAAACAGG